UUUGACAUUGGCCAUGUUAUCUUGGACAUGAUGACACUAUACCCUGAUCCAUUUUACUGAGACGGUGACCUUUCAUUUGCCCUCCUUAUCUCUCGAAUCAUGGAGGAUAUCGAAUUUGAGAUCGAUCCUACUUUGGUGGUUUAGUCUUCUCAUGUCUUCUUGGAUGAGAACUCUUGGGCUAAGCACUAUAGCUAUGUGUAUGAUCCUAUAACACCCCCUACUCCUUAU
rnacentral:lncRNA from 1 species